rnacentral:lncRNA from 1 species
AGGGGAACUUUGUAAGAAAAUUCGGAGCGAGAAAGCCUCGCCGUAGUGUAAGGCACUGGGCUAACAGAGGAGGAGGGAGGUGCUUCUCUGACUUGGGAUGAGGUGUUGGUUUUAGCUUGGUGUAAUUCAGAGGGGGAGAAUUUUGAGUUGAUAUCUCCAGUCCAAUUCCGGUUGUCAUAUAUGUUAGGUGAGGUUCCGGAAGAGCCACAGUUGAUGGUGAUGUCUUCGACUGGAGUGUAGAUAGGUGCAGAGAGUAGGGUGGCGAUUUGCAGAAACAAGGGAAGUAAAGAGGCAGAGGAGGGAGAAGGAGUUUCUUCAUGGUUAUUGUUUUGGAAAGGUGUUUGCUGCUAAUUGGGUUCUUGAUGAUGUGUAAGAGAAGAGAAAGAUAAGAAGGUAAAUAAGAUGUUGAUUAAGAGGAGGAAGAUGAUGAUCUAGUGAGAAACAGGGGAAGGAGGUAAAGAGGCAGAGGAGGGAGGGGGAGUUUCUUCAUGGUUGUUGUUCUGCAAAGGUGUUUGCUGCUAAUUGGGUUUUUGAUGAUAUCUAAGAGAAGAGGAAGAUUAGAGGGCAAUUAAGGUGUUGAUUAAGAGGGGGAUGACGAUGAUCAAGUGAGAAACGGGGAAGCUGCUGAAACAUAACAGAGAGAUUGCCCUGUUUAAUUUUCAAAUGUGAAUUUGAAACUUCUGAUCAAGAAGUGUGUAUUCACAUGGAGUGGUGUUCUCUGAAAGUUCAGAGCUGCUUCUUUUCCAUCAAGAG